rnacentral:rRNA from 1 species
CGAUCUGGCUCAGAUUGAACGCUGGCGGCAGGCCUAACACAUGCAAGUCGAACGGUAACAGGAAGAAGCUUGCUCUUUGCUGACGAGUGGCGGACGGGUGAGUAAUGUCUGGGAAACUGCCUGAUGGAGGGGGAUAACUACUGGAAACGGUAGCUAAUACCGCAUAACGUCGCAAGACCAAAGAGGGGGACCUUCGGGCCUCUUGCCAUCGGAUGUGCCCAGAUGGGAUUAGCUAGUAGGUGGGGUAACGGCUCACCUAGGCGACGAUCCCUAGCUGGUCUGAGAGGAUGACCAGCCACACUGGAACUGAGACACGGUCCAGACUCCUACGGGAGGCAGCAGUGGGGAAUAUUGCACAAUGGGCGCAAGCCUGAUGCAGCCAUGCCGCCGUGUAUGAAGAAGGCCUUCGGGUUGUAAAGUACUUUCAGCGGGGAGGAAGGGAGUAAAGUUAAUACCUUUGCUCAUUGACGUUACCCGCAGAAGAAGCACCGGCUAACUCCGUGCCAGCAGCCGC